rnacentral:rRNA from 1 species
ACGGGAGGCAGCAGUAGGGAAUAUUGCACAAUGGGGGGAACCCUGAUGCAGCAACGCCACGUGUGGGAAGAAGCAUUUCGGUGUGUAAACCACUGUCGUGAGGGAAUAAUGCUUGGUCUCGGCCAAGUUGAAUGUACCUCGAAAGGAAGCACCGGCAAACUUCGUGCCAGCAGCCGCGGUAAUACGAGGGGUGCAAGCGUUGUUCGGAAUCACUGGGCGUAAAGGGAGCGUAGGCGGAGACGCAAGCAGUCUGUGAAAUACCGGGGCUCAACCCCGGACCUGCAUACUAGACUGUGUCUCUUGGGUAGUUGAGGGGCAGGCGGAAUUCCUGGUGUAGCGGUGGAAUGCGUAGAGAUCAGGAAGAACACCGAUGGCGAAGGCAGCCUGCUGGGAAGUCAUCGACGCUGAGGCUCGAAAGUGCGGGUAGCAAACAGGAUUAGAUACCCUGGUA